rnacentral:rRNA from 1 species
GUGGGGAAUAUUGCGCAAUGGGGGAAACCCUGACGCAGCAACGCCGCGUGAGUGAUGAAGGUCUUCGGAUCGUAAAGCUCUGUCGGCAGGAACGAUGGAACAGUUGGCUAACAUCCAACAGCUCUGACGGUACCUGCAAAGGAAGCACCGGCUAACUCUGUGCCAGCAGCCGCGGUAAGACAGAGGGUGCAAGCGUUGUUCGGAAUCAUUGGGCGUAAAGGGCGCGUAGGCGGUGAGGUAAGUCAACUGUGAAAGCCCAGGGCUCAACCUUGGAAGUGCAGCUGAAACUACCUUACUAGAGUCUCGGAGAGGGUGGUGGAAUUCCCAGUGUAGAGGUGAAAUUCGUAGAUAUUGGGAGGAACACCGGUGGCGAAGGCGACCGCCUGGACGAUGACUGACGCUGAGGCGCGAGAGCGUGGGGAGCAAACAGG